AGGGUGUAAACGCUGCAGACUUGGUGUUGGAGGCCCUUUGGGGGCAUUCAGUGCCGGAGAGAAGUUGUUAAGUCUGCUACUUGGGGAGUACGUCCGCAAGGAUGAAACUUAAAGGAAUUGGCGGGGGAGCACCGCAACGGGAGGAGCGUGCGGUUUAAUUGGAUUCAACACCGUAAAACUCACCAGGGGAGACUGUUACAUGAAGGCCGAGAUGAAGACUCUGCUAGAUUUUCAGAGAGGAGGUGCAUGGCGUCAGUGACU
rnacentral:rRNA from 1 species